rnacentral:rRNA from 1 species
UACGUAGGGGGCAAGCGUUGUCCGGAUUUAUUGGGCGUAAAGAGCGUGUAGGCGGUUUGGUAGGUCCGCUGUGAAAACUCGAGGCUCAACCUCGAGACGCCGGUGGAAACCAUCAGGCUAGAGUCCGGAAGAGGAGAGUGGAAUUCCCGGUGUAGCGGUGAAAUGCGCAGAUAUCGGGAAGAACACCCGUGGCGAAGGCGGCUCUCUGGGACGGUACUGACGCUGAGACGCGAAAGCGUGGGGAGCGAACAGG